GAAAGCCGUAUGAUAGGAAACUAUCACGUACGGUUUGGGAAAGGGGUUUCAUAUUCCUAAUGGAAUAUGUUAUUCUAGUUCAU
rfam:Coccidioides immitis RMSCC 2394 supercont1.25 mitochondrial scaffold, whole genome shotgun sequence.